CGCGUAGGCGGUCUGUUAAGUCAGAUGUGAAAGCCCUGGGCUUAACCUGGGAACUGCAUUUGAUACUGGCGGACUAGAGUAUGGUAGAGGGAAGUGGAAUUCCGGGUGUAGCGGUGAAAUGCGUAGAUAUCCAGAAGAACAUCAGUGGCGAAGGCGGCUUCCUGGACCAAUACUGACGCUGAGGUGCGAAAGCGUGGGGAGCAAACA
rnacentral:rRNA from 1 species